rnacentral:rRNA from 1 species
GACGAACGCUGGCGGCGUGCCUAACACAUGCAAGUCGAACGGAACUGUUUUGAAAGAUUUCUUCGGAAUGUAUUUGAUUUCGUUUAGUGGCGGACGGGUGAGUAACGCGUGAGUAACCUGCCUUCAAGAGGGGAAUAACAUUCUGAAAAGAAUGCUAAUACCGCCUGACAUAUCGGAACCACAUGGUUUUGAUAUCAAAGCUUUUAUCGCUUGUAGAUGGACUGGCGUCCGAUUAGUUAGUUGGUGAGGUAAAGGCGCACCAAGACCGCGAUCGGUAGCCGGACUGAGGAGACGAGCGGCCGCAUUGUGACUGAGGCACCAGUCGGGCACCUACGGGAAGGAGCAGAAGGGGAUAGGGCGCAAGGCGCGCAACCGAGGCGCAGCUUCGGCUCGUGAAGCUCUAUUGUUUGCGAAGAAUAAACGUCUAAGAUUAAGGGCGAAAAAUGACGGUACUUAAUGAAAAAGCCCCGGCUAACUACGUG